rnacentral:lncRNA from 1 species
GUGUCCCCUAAAAGCUCAUGUGAGACAUUCCUGCAAGAAUGUUCAGAGGUGAAAUUAUUAGGUGAUGGGAGUUACAACCUAAUCACUGGAUGAAUCCACUGGUACAGAUUAACUGGGAAGCAGCUGCAGGCAAGUAGGGUGUGGCUAGAGGAAAUAGAUUACAGGGGAAAUGCCUUUAGGGUUUCUAUUUUGUUCUGGUGAAUGUGAUGCUGUCUCUUUCUCUCUCCAGCUUCCUGGCUGUCUGUCCUUGGUCCCACCCUCCCGCCAUGAUGCUCUGCCAUUGUCUCAGGCCCAGAGCCAUGGAGUUGGCUAACUGUGAACUGAACCUCUGAAACCUGAGCCGGAAUGAACUUCCCACGCUCUCCAUUGCUCUUGUCAGGUUUUCUGUCAUCGUGAUGCAAAGCUGUCUAACUUACCGUCGAUGAAUGGAAAAAUAAUGAAACACGGUGGACCAUCCUGAAGAUGUAAAACAUGAGUGAAAUCCUGCUAUUUGUAGCAACAUAGACGAUCGUGGAGGACAUUACGUUAAGAAAGAAGCCAGGUGUAGAAAGAAAAGCAUGAGAGGCUCUCACUUCCACGUGGGAUCUAAAAGUGUUCUGGAACACUGGUUACCAGAGGCUGGGAAGGGAGACAGCGACCGGGAAUGGUUCCUGGGGACAGAGGUGCCCUGGUAGGGGUGGGGGUAACUUCUAGGAUUCUGUAGCACAAUAGGGCAGCUGGGGUCAGCACCACUUAACUGCACGUUUCAAAAUAACUGAUUUUGAAUUUUCCCAACACAAAGAAAUGAUAAGUGUUGGAGGUUAUAGUUACGUCAGUUAUUCUGAUCUGUGUUGAAAUAUCACACUGUACCCCAUAAAUAUAUGCAAUCAUUAUGGGCCAAUUAAAAAAUCAAGAUUUUUUUUUUAAAUACUGUUUUCUAGGCCCACUCCUGCUAGAGAGCCUGAUUAAUUUGCUCUGAGGUACGACCUGGACAUUGAGAUUCUUAAAUGCUCCUCAAAUGAUUUGAAUAUGUAGCCAAGUUUGAGUAUCGCUGCUGUAGAUUACUUUUACUUGUAAAGUAAUUAUUUAUGAGGAGGAUGGCAUUUAGGACGACGUUUUAGAGAAUCUGCACCAUCCUUUGGUCCCAGUGAGUUAAUGAGAGUCGGUUCAGAGAGGUGAGGCUUGGCAAAUUAACUAUCACACAGUUGGUGAGGAAGCUGACCCUCAUGGAAAGCAGUUUCCAAAGUGGAGAGAACAAACAAUCAUCUUGACGAAGGGAGUUUCCUAUAACAAACAUCAUAACCUAAUAGAGGUUAGAAGUCAGAAGACAUCAGAAAUGUUUGUUAAACAUUUACUUUAAUAUAACAGGAAAACUCUGGUUCUGUUAGUCAACAACAGAUUUAGAUCCUCCUUCAUCCUAACAAGGUAGGGAAGAAGGAGAGAUUUAGGCUGAUUUUAAUGUCAAUGGACACCAAACUGCUAAGAUAACGACAUAAAAGUUAUUAUCUCAAUGCUUUUAGUAUUUCAGAGGUGCUCACAUCUAAGUCUUUUUUUUUUGAGUUUCACUUGAACUGCUUGCCCCCAAAUUCCCAUAACUUCUAAUUUUAAAUUCAGUUUUAAUUAAGGCUGAAUUCAAGGUACCUUCGGUUCCCCACAUCUAUGGAUUCAACCAACUGUUGAUCAAAAAAAAUUGGCAUCUGGGCUGAGUACAUUGAGCUCCUUGGCCCUGUCACCCCCGCCCUCAAAUCUACAGUGUGACAACUACUCACAUAGCAUUUGCAUUGUAUUAGGAACUAUAAAUUAUCUAGAGAUGAAUUAAAGUAUAAAGAAGUGUAGGCGUAUUAUAUGCAAAUACUGUACCACUUCCUAUAAGGACAGAGAGCACCCACAGAUUUUGGUAUCUGUGGGGAGUUCCUGGGAAUCACCCCUAUGGACACUGAGAGAGGACUGCAGUUAGAAGUCACCAUAAUUUAUUUCCACCCCAUCACGAGAUCUCUGUGCCCAAAGACUAGCCCUUUGCCCCAGGUGUGUGGGAUUCCGUUCCGAGUCUGAAGGCUGUCCCUCUUCUUUACCAAGUUUCCACACCUGAGUUGGGACACCUGUUUGUCAACUGCCAGUCAAUCAACACCAACCCUGCGGGAGAGGAAACAGGAAUCCCAGUUUCUCAUUCCCACAUCCUCAUCGCUGACGUAUUUUCUGGGAUCUUUAUCAUUAGAUUACCAAGUUUUCUUCCAGAAGGCACUGAGGCCUUGAAAGUGAAUCGAUUCCAAAGUUUAAAGAGGAAAUCGCCUGAGAGAGAAAUGCAGGCUUGUCUUGGGUUAGAAAUGGAGACCUCUGCUGAUCAGCAAGAAUCUCUGGGAGGUCAUUUUUAUGUAUUCUACCUUGGCCAGAAAAAACACUGACCUUGGCAAACAAAUCAGAAUUCAGAUCCCAUGAGCUGCUUCUCUUUGGGGUCACCGUCUGUCCUUCAAGCUGGCUUUAAACAUCAGACCAAAGUGUUCACUCAUCAGAACAGGCGAGCCCGGCUAUGGUUUAUUACAUGUGAAAGUUGCUGCCUAAGACGGUUUAAGCCUUCUUCCCCGGAGCAUGCGGUGUAUUAGUCACUGGAGUCCAUAGAAACAAUGCAGAGGGUCUGAUUCCCCUGAAAACUCGAGCUCUCUGGGGCAUGCUCUAGAAAGAUGUGGCAGGAGUGAAGCACAGCUAAGAUGUGCCAGGUGUCAUGUGCAGAAUAAUGGACCCCCAAAUCCACAUGCUGAUCCCCAGAAGCUGUGAAUGGGUUAGGGUAUGUGGCAAAAGUUGCAGAUGGAAUUAAGGUUGCUAUUCCGCUGACCUUGAGGGCAGAUAUUAUCCUGGAUUAUCUGGGUGGGCCCCACAUAAUCAUGAGGGGCCAUAGAGGUGAAAAAGGAAGCAGAGUGACAGAAACAAAGAGGUGAAGAUAUGCAAAGGACUUGGCCUGAUGGUGCUUGCUUUGAAGAUGGAAGAACGAUCCUGUCUUAGUUGGUUUUCUGUUGCUAUAACUGUAUGCUGCAGACAAGGUAAUUUAUAAAGACUCGAGGUUUGCCGCAGUCUGGCUGGGCACAAAAUCACGAGCCACUCAAGCAGGAACAAAGUUUAUUUUUUGAAACUGCCGCCAAUGUCCGGUACCGCCCGGGAAGAUUUUUUCCACCCACGCGGCCUCCUCCCGGACCCGCAGAGAGAGCUCCUCCCCCGGAACUCCCUCCUACUGUACUUCCCCAACCAAUGGGAACUCUCCAGGAGUCCCGUAGCCGGCCUAGGUGAACAGCAGGAGUCCAAUAUCCAUAUGAAUGCAAAUCUUAACAUAAUCAUAUCAUCUCAAUGGCUAGCUGGCGUCACCUUUCGACCAAAAAUGCCAUGCAUCAUAUACUUGGCUCUUAGCAUCUCCCCCCUUAUGUUUAAGUAACAAGCAAUCUGACUAGGGACCGUGCCUGUUAGGUUUGUCCAAUUCAACAUAUGGUUCUUACCCGUCAUCGGAAAACUGACUUUUAGGCGUUAGCCUCCUGUCUUAGGUUGAUACCACUGCAAUUGGAUCAUACCCGUCACUGACUACCGGUCCAGCAUAUAGCCAUACUUGUGGAUAGGCCUAUGUACCAGUGGGGGGGUGAGGUUCUUUGCCUCACAUCUGUUGGCCCCCAAAUUUGGCCUUGGUGCCGGUGGGGGGGUGAGGUUCUUUACUUCACCUCUGUUGGCCCCCAAAAUUAGACCAUCACUAGUAGAAGGGAGGAGGAUACAGAAAUGUCAUGACACCAAGUCAAUUAACGGCUCCUAGGAAAAAUUGCAUCACUGGUGACACAUCAGCAAAGAUACGCUAGCACUAUCAUAAUUCACUGCAUCAACAAAUAGAUCACAAAGCAUACAAGUGAUACAUAGUCCAGGCAAGUUCUGUAAGCAGUUCAAAGCAGAGGAAUCUAUCAAUAUGUCCAUAUCCUCCCAAAAUAAAGCAUACAAGUGAUACAUAGUCCAGGCAAGUUUUGUAAGCAGUUCAAAGCAGAGGAAUCUAUCAAUAUGUCCAUAUCCUUCCAAAAUAAAUCGACUCAUUGAUUGAGCAUUACUUGGUGAGUUAUAAACCAUUGAUGUAUCAGUUUACACGGUUUGUUGUGAUAACUCUCGAAGAAGUUGUAGUUUGGUUUUAUCUUUGUCUUCACCGGCACUGGGAUGAAAAUAGGAAUUUUGACAAUGAUGCUAAAAAAAAUAUGUAACAUUUCAACAGGUAACAAGAAAACAAUAUUUAGAACAAUUUACAUUAUCCUGAACAGAAUAAUAAAAUAUAAUGAAAAGGAAAGGUGAAAGUAAACAAACAUAUCUGUUAACCUUCUAUUUGUUC